GGCGGAGUAGCUCAGUUGGUUAGAGCAGCGGAAUCAUAAUCCGCGUGUCGGGGGUUCGAGUCCCUCCUCCGCUACCA
rnacentral:tRNA from 69 species